CGUGUGAUUUCAGUUCCGGUUCAAUGCAUUUGUAAUGAGGGGGCGCACUUCUGUGCAGUGUGCACAUUAGUCGUCGUUGCCAGAAGGCUGCACCCGACAGCCAAGGGAUUUACAUGUGGCAUAGCAAGUCUCUGAAGCAGUGUCUCACACUCGAGUCCUGACCGAGGGCCUUGAAACUGGCAUGCCUGUUCAAAACAUCUCCAGGACAACAAGAAGAUGAAGGAGAAUGCGUGCAGUGGGCUGAAUGGAGAAUUCGUGAAUCAAAGGCAACACCAUCAAAUGCAUUAUGAAAUUAAGCACUAUCAGGUUGUCAAGGCUGUAGCUCAGCGGGUACAUGGUCCUGGAUACCAGAU